rnacentral:rRNA from 1 species
AGUAAAAGUCGUAACAAGGUUUCCGUAGGUGAACCUGCGGAAGGAUCAUUAUUGAAGUUGCUGAGGGGUUGCUGCUGGCUUUCCGGAGCACCGUGCACGCCCUUCUCACUUUAUCUCCAUCCACCUGUGCACACACUGUAGAUCUCGGAUAUCUUUCAGCCAGUCUCAUCUGGUUGGCUCGGAUUGCUGCUCUUUGCAGGGCUUUAAUCCAAUUUCCGGGUUCUAUGUCCUUUCACAAACUCUAAGUAAAUAUCAUAGAAUGUAUCAUGGUCGGAAGACCUUUACAAUUAUAAUACAACUUUCAACAACGGAUCUCUUGGCUCUCGCAUCGAUGAAGAACGCAGCGAAAUGCGAUAAGUAAUGUGAAUUGCAGAUUUCAGUGAAUCAUCGAAUCUUUGAACGCACCUUGCGCUCCUUGGUAUUCCGAGGAGCAUGCCUGUCUGAGUGUCAUUAAAUUCUCAAAUCUCCUUUGGAUUUUUCAAUCUGAUAGGAGACUUGGAUAUGAGGGCUUGCCGGUUUUUGAUCGGCUCCCUUCAAAUGCAUUAGCGUUGCCUCAGCCGAUCGAACGCCCCUCGGUAUGAUAAUUUAUCUAUGCCGUGUCGGGGAUCGCACGAGCGCAUGCUUCUAGUCGUCCACUUUCUGGACAGAUUCAUCAUAUCUUGACCUCAGAUCAGGUAGGACUACCCGCUGAACUUAAGCAUAUCAAUAAGCGGAGGAAAAGAAACUAACAAGGAUUCCCCUAGUAACUGCGAGUGAAGCGGGAAAAGCUCAAAUUUAAAAUCUGGUGGUCUCCGGCCGCCCGAGUUGUAAUUUAGAGAAGCGUUUUCCGCGC